CUCAGACCGAGCAGGUUGUAGGAAGCACCAGGGAAAGGCUCUGCUCCAGCCUGCCGCUCACGCCAGUCCCCCCCAACCGGGCACGAUGAGAGCUGUCAUCCAAAGGGUCACUCAGGCCAGUGUGACGGGUGAGUGAGGCGAGGUGGCAGCGCUGACAGCCAGUGUGUAUCCGCAGUGCUGAGCGGCUCGGGUGCGCAGCUGGUGGAGGGCAAGCAGGCCGGCAGCUUUCAUAGCCUGUGCGGGCGACUUGGGGCAAUGUGCUGGCCCACUGUCACCGGACACAUACACACUGCGGCCAUGGUGUGCAGCAUGAGCUGGCCCGUCAUAGCCAC
rnacentral:lncRNA from 1 species